CAGCGUCUCUCUCUUAAAUUUUCCCCAAUAUCUUUGUAUCUCCAUUUCAGAUGAAUUGUUCUCUUUCCAAGGGUUGAGGAGAACAUGGUCGUGGUUCAAGUGAAGCCACUACAGCCACUGCCUGACAAGUCUUCCACACUGAUAGACAGUGGCAGCAAACACACAAGGGAGGAUGGUGUGGUGGACAAGAGGAUGCAGGGAGACGGCAGACAGAAUGGAAGCUACAGAUGAAAGAAGAGCAGGUCAAGCCAUGGCAGCAGACAGACAGACAGAGACAGAUUGGAUCAGAAAGUAUUAUUAUUUAGUGAGCACCAGAAGCAGUCUUCCUCACACGAACCGUUUCAUUGCCGGGACUUGAAGGCUGCUGAAGCAAUGCGGCGGAGGUCACGCCCCUUAAAGUAUUUAUACUUACUGUCAACACCAUAACUAAAGCAAACACUUUAGUGCAGACAGGCCCACUGGAAGCUGUCAGUCUGCUGCGGCACGUGGCAAGAACCAAGUGUUGAGGAGCACACAUUGUCCCUUCAUCAGUCAGCAGACUGCUCGCCUUCACAGGUCUGGGCGGCUCGGAAGUCUCACUACAAACUGGAGAUCCAUUCUCUUGGACACAGCUGGAGUCGGACACAAGAUUCAAGAGGGAGUCAUUUUAACGAGAGCUUCAGGCAGAAAAUUCGAGUGGAUUUUCAUUUCUAAAAAUAUCUUAUUUUUUGGGGGGGAUAUUUUGAAUCCUUCUUUGUGGAAAAAUAACUCCAGAUAUUAUGAUUCUAGCUGGAAGUUGACCUGAGCAAUGUAGGGUUUGCUGCUGUGAGAUUAUCACCAAGGCACAAGUGUCCGGGAUUUAAAGAUGAUGGAAAUGUGUCCUGUGUGCUGCUGUGCUGGGAAGAGGAGAGGAGCAGCAGCAGUGGUGGGGCUCUGCUGCUGCUGUCACUAGUGCAGCUGCCUUCCCUCAACAUACUGUGUCUUCUCUCACCUGCAAUGAACAACUAUGAACAAUACUUUUGCGAUGAAGAACAGUGAAUAACACCUCUCCCCAUAUGAUUGCAAGUCUCUCUCUCUCUCUCUCUCUCUCUCUCUCUCUCUCUCUCUCUCUCUCUCUCUCCAUAGUCCUACAGUAUGUCCCCCACAGUAUGUUUACAAACCCACAGUGACUCCCCACAGCCCCUCACCAACACCCUCACCAACAAUUGUCUCCACACACACACACACACACACACACACACCAUUACAUACACAAAUGUUGCAAUCUUGUACACACACACACACACACACACACACACACACACACACACACACACACACACACCAUUACAUACACAAAUGUUGCAAUCUUGUACACACACACACACACACACACACACACACACACACACACACACACACACACACACACCAUUACAUACACAAAUGUUGCAAUCUUGUACAGUGUCUACAAUAAAGAAUGAAACCAAAAUCGACAA